GGGCGCCUGUAGUCCCAGCUACUCGGGAGGCUGAGGCAGGAGAAUGGCGCGAACCCGGGAGGUGGAGGUUGCAGUGAGCCGAGAUUGCGCCACUGCACUCAAGCCUGGGUGACAGAGUGAGACUCUAUCUCAAAAACAAAAAAAAAACAAAAAAGGUGAAAAAAAGUGAAGGUGGAAACAGAAGAGGAAAUAUUCUUUUUUGUUUUGUAACAGGGUCUUACUCUGUCAACUAGGUUGGAGUGCAGUGCUG
rnacentral:lncRNA from 1 species